rnacentral:rRNA from 1 species
GCCAGACUCCUACGGGAGGCAGCAGUGGGGAAUAUUGCACAAUGGGGGAAACCCUGAUGCAGCGACGCCGCGUGAGUGAAGAAGUAUUUCGGUAUGUAAAGCUCUAUCAGCAGGGAGGAAAAUGACGGUACCUGAUUAAGAAGCCCCGGCUAACUACGUGCCAGCAGCCGCGGUAAUACGUAGGGGGCAAGCGUUAUCCGGAUUUACUGGGUGUAAAGGGAGCGUAGACGGUGAUGCAAGUCAGAAGUGAAAGCCCGGGGCUCAACUCCGGGACUGCUUUUGAAACUGUGUGACUGGAGUGCAGGAGAGGUAAGCGGAAUUCCUGGUGUAGCGGUGAAAUGCGUAGAUAUCAGGAGGAACACCAGUGGCGAAGGCGGCUUACUGGACUGUAACUGACGUUGAGGCUCGAAAGCGUAGGGAGCAAACAGGAUUAGAUACCCGAGUAC